AAAGUUUAGUGUAAACAUAUUAAUUUAUUUAUGCUUAAUUUCUCUUUAAAGGAUACCUACCCUUUGAAGUAACCUCCAGCGAAAGGUUUCAAGGCGAGCGCUCUGCCGGCAGCUGCGACAUUCAUGUGUUUCAGGUUGUAUAUGUUGGGGAGGUUGGGAUGGACCGGCUAAUUCAUCAGCUGUUGGCCGCUGUCUAGCAACAUCAGCUGGGGUAUUCACUGUUGAAGGUGUUUGGGAUAUAGCUGAAGUUGAAGGUUGUACUCGUCUGGAAGGUUGGGAUGGUCCAGCUAAUUCAUCAGCUGUUGCUGUCUGCUGUCUAGCAACACCAGCUGGGGUAUUCACUGUUGAAGGUGUCUGGGAUAUACCUGAAGUUGAAGGUUGUACUCGUCUGGAAGGUUGGGAUGGUCCAGCUAAUUCAGCAGUCAUUGCUCGCCGCAUUGCAACAUUAGCUGACGACGACCUAUCUACAGAUAGCCAAAUUCCAUCGGUUGAGGAUGCCUGGGCUACAGCUGAAGUUGAAGCUGAUCUUAGAAUAUCACGAUCAUCUUGAAAGAAGGAAUCUCUUGAACUCUGACUUGGUGGAACUACAGAUCCAGGGCUUGAAGGUGGUGAAUCUAUGAUGCUUGAAUUUGGGCUUGAUGGUGAACUAGCUGGUGUUCGGAGCUAGCUUCAGAGGAGGAGAUCCUAACUGUCCAUUAUGGACAGUUUAGGGAAUACGUGGCCGAGUGCAGCCACGAGAUUGAGGAAGAGGACGAGGAGCAAGAAGAAGAAAUAGAAGAAGAUGAAGGAAUUGUGGCCGAUUUAGAAGAAAAUUGAUGGCUGCCCCUCUCCUCCUCCUCUACUAGCACUAAGUAUUUAGUUGUAGAAAUAUCAAAAUAUGUAUAUAAUAUAAAUAGAAAUAAUAUAAGUUUGUAUAUAUAAAUAAAUUCAUAUUUAG